rnacentral:rRNA from 1 species
AUACGGAGGGUGCAAGCGUUACUCGGAAUCACUGGGCGUAAAGCGCGCGCAGGCGGCUAUUUAAGUUGGGUGUGAAAGCCUAUGGCUCAACCAUAGAACUGCAUCCAAAACUAUUUAGCUAGAGUGUGGGAGAGGAAGAUGGAAUUAGUUGUGUAGGGGUAAAAUCCGUAGAGAUAACUAGGAAUACCAAAAGCGAAGGCAAUCUUCUGGAACACUACUGACGCUGAGGCGCGAAAGCGUGGGGAGCAAACAGGAUUAGAAACCCUAGUAGUCC